AUUGAACGCUGGCGGCAGGCCUAACACAUGCAAGUCGAGCGGCAGCGGGAAAGUAGCUUGCUACUUUUGCCGGCGAGCGGCGGACGGGUGAGUAAUGCCUGGGGAUCUGCCCAGUCGAGGGGGAUAACAGUUGGAAACGACUGCUAAUACCGCAUACGCCCUACGGGGGAAAGGAGGGGACCUUCGGGCCUUUCGCGAUUGGAUGAACCCAGGUGGGAUUAGCUAGUUGGUGGGGUAAUGGCUCACCAAGGCGACGAUCCCUAGCUGGUCUGAGAGGAUGAUCAGCCACACUGGAACUGAGACACGGUCCAGACUCCUACGGGAGGCAGCAGUGGGGAAUAUUGCACAAUGGGGGAAACCCUGAUGCAGCCAUGCCGCGUGUGUGAAGAAGGCCUUCGGGUUGUAAAGCACUUUCAGCGAGGAGGAAAGGUUGUUGGCUAAUAUC
rnacentral:rRNA from 1 species